AGUUGUGAGGGCAAUCUGGCUGCAUCUAUCACCCCACUGGUACCAGGGUUGAUUCAGUUGGCUCGGCGGCUGUCCCCUUCCUCCCUCAGCCCUCCAUGUGCUUCCCUCCUGAAGCAUCAUGCUCUGAGGAAGAGGACGACCUUCCCCCCAGAGGAGAGGGCCGGUCAAGGGUGUACAAGUAGCUGCGCUCCCUGCUAGAACCUCCAAACGAGUUCUCAAGGCAGUCAAGCUUCCAAGACUCCAGACACAUCCACAUGAGAGGCUGCAUGUGGAAGUCUGCAUUUCU
rnacentral:snRNA from 1 species